GGGUUGUGAGGUUAAGCGACUAAGCGUACACGGUGGAUGCCCUGGCAGUCAGAGGCGAUGAAGGACGUGCUAAUCUGCGAUAAGCGUCGGUAAGGUGAUAUGAACCGUUAUAACCGGCGAUUUCCGAAUGGGGAAACCCAGUGUGUUUCGACACACUAUCAUUAACUGAAUCCAUAGGUUAAUGAGGCGAACCGGGGGAACUGAAACAUCUAAGUACCCCGAGGAAAAGAAAUCAACCGAGAUUCCCCCAGUAGCGGCGAGCGAACGGGGAGCAGCCCAGAGCCUGAAUCAGUGUGUGUGUUAGUGGAAGCGUCUGGAAAGGCGCGCGAUACAGGGUGACAGCCCCGUACACAAAAAUGCACAUGCUGUGAGCUCGAUGAGUAGGGCGGGACACGUGGUAUCCUGUCUGAAUAUGGGGGGACCAUCCUCCAAGGCUAAAUACUCCUGACUGACCGAUAGUGAACCAGUACCGUGAGGGAAAGGCGAAAAGAACCCCGGCGAGGGGAGUGAAAAAGAACCUGAAACCGUGUACGUACAAGCAGUGGGAGCACGCUUAGGCGUGUGACUGCGUACCUUUUGUAUAAUGGGUCAGCGACUUAUAUUCUGUAGCAAGGUUAACCGAAUAGGGGAGCCGAAGGGAAACCGAGUCUUAACUGGGCGUUAAGUUGCAGGGUAUAGACCCGAAACCCGGUGAUCUAGCCAUGGGCAGGUUGAAGGUUGGGUAACACUAACUGGAGGACCGAACCGACUAAUGUUGAAAAAUUAGCGGAUGACUUGUGGCUGGGGGUGAAAGGCCAAUCAAACCGGGAGAUAGCUGGUUCUCCCCGAAAGCUAUUUAGGUAGCGCCUCGUGAAUUCAUCUCCGGGGGUAGAGCACUGUUUCGGCAAGGGGGUCAUCCCGACUUACCAACCCGAUGCAAACUGCGAAUACCGGAGAAUGUUAUCACGGGAGACACACGGCGGGUGCUAACGUCCGUCGUGAAGAGGGAAACAACCCAGACCGCCAGCUAAGGUCCCAAAGUCAUGGUUAAGUGGGAAACGAUGUGGGAAGGCCCAGACAGCCAGGAUGUUGGCUUAGAAGCAGCCAUCAUUUAAAGAAAGCGUAAUAGCUCACUGGUCGAGUCGGCCUGCGCGGAAGAUGUAACGGGGCUAAACCAUGCACCGAAGCUGCGGCAGCGACGCUGAUGCGUUGUUGGGUAGGGGAGCGUUCUGUAAGCCUGUGAAGGUGUGCUGUGAGGCAUGCUGGAGGUAUCAGAAGUGCGAAUGCUGACAUAAGUAACGAUAAAGCGGGUGAAAAGCCCGCUCGCCGGAAGACCAAGGGUUCCUGUCCAACGUUAAUCGGGGCAGGGUGAGUCGACCCCUAAGGCGAGGCCGAAAGGCGUAGUCGAUGGGAAACAGGUUAAUAUUCCUGUACUUGGUGUUACUGCGAAGGGGGGACGGAGAAGGCUAUGUUGGCCGGGCGACGGUUGUCCCGGUUUAAGCGUGUAGGCUGGUUUUCCAGGCAAAUCCGGAAAAUCAAGGCUGAGGCGUGAUGACGAGGCACUACGGUGCUGAAGCAACAAAUGCCCUGCUUCCAGGAAAAGCCUCUAAGCAUCAGGUAACAUCAAAUCGUACCCCAAACCGACACAGGUGGUCAGGUAGAGAAUACCAAGGCGCUUGAGAGAACUCGGGUGAAGGAACUAGGCAAAAUGGUGCCGUAACUUCGGGAGAAGGCACGCUGAUAUGUAGGUGAAGUCCCUCGCGGAUGGAGCUGAAAUCAGUCGAAGAUACCAGCUGGCUGCAACUGUUUAUUAAAAACACAGCACUGUGCAAACACGAAAGUGGACGUAUACGGUGUGACGCCUGCCCGGUGCCGGAAGGUUAAUUGAUGGGGUUAGCCGCAAGGCGAAGCUCUUGAUCGAAGCCCCGGUAAACGGCGGCCGUAACUAUAACGGUCCUAAGGUAGCGAAAUUCCUUGUCGGGUAAGUUCCGACCUGCACGAAUGGCGUAAUGAUGGCCAGGCUGUCUCCACCCGAGACUCAGUGAAAUUGAACUCGCUGUGAAGAUGCAGUGUACCCGCGGCAAGACGGAAAGACCCCGUGAACCUUUACUAUAGCUUGACACUGAACAUUGAGCCUUGAUGUGUAGGAUAGGUGGGAGGCUUAGAAGUGUGGACGCCAGUCUGCAUGGAGCCGACCUUGAAAUACCACCCUUUAAUGUUUGAUGUUCUAACGUUGACCCGUAAUCCGGGUUGCGGACAGUGUCUGGUGGGUAGUUUGACUGGGGCGGUCUCCUCCUAAAGAGUAACGGAGGAGCACGAAGGUUGGCUAAUCCUGGUCGGACAUCAGGAGGUUAGUGCAAUGGCAUAAGCCAGCUUGACUGCGAGCGUGACGGCGCGAGCAGGUGCGAAAGCAGGUCAUAGUGAUCCGGUGGUUCUGAAUGGAAGGGCCAUCGCUCAACGGAUAAAAGGUACUCCGGGGAUAACAGGCUGAUACCGCCCAAGAGUUCAUAUCGACGGCGGUGUUUGGCACCUCGAUGUCGGCUCAUCACAUCCUGGGGCUGAAGUAGGUCCCAAGGGUAUGGCUGUUCGCCAUUUAAAGUGGUACGCGAGCUGGGUUUAGAACGUCGUGAGACAGUUCGGUCCCUAUCUGCCGUGGGCGCUGGAGAACUGAGGGGGGCUGCUCCUAGUACGAGAGGACCGGAGUGGACGCAUCACUGGUGUUCGGGUUGUCAUGCCAAUGGCACUGCCCGGUAGCUAAAUGCGGAAGAGAUAAGUGCUGAAAGCAUCUAAGCACGAAACUUGCCCCGAGAUGAGUUCUCCCUGAC
rnacentral:rRNA from 1 species